GACGAACGCUGGCGGCGUGCCUAAUACAUGCAAGUUGAGCGCUGAAGGUUGGUACUUGUACCAACUGGAUGAGCAGCGAACGGGUGAGUAACGCGUGGGGAAUCUGCCUUUGAGCGGGGGACAACAUUGGGAAACGAAUGCUAAUACCCCAUAAAACCUUUAAACACAGGUUUUAGGUUUGAAAGAGCCAAUUGCACCACUCAAGAUUGAUCCCGCGUUGUAUUAGCUAGUUGGUGAGGUAAAGGCUCACCAAGGCGAUGAUACAUAGCCGACCUGAGAGGGUGAUCGGCCACAUUGGGACUGAGACACGGCCCAAACUCCUACGGGAGGCAGCAGUAGGGAAUCUUCGGCAAUGGACGAAAGUCUGACCGAGCAACGCCGCGUGAGUGAAGAAGGGUUUCGGAUCGUAAAACUCUGUUGGUAGAGAAGAACGUUGGUGAGAGUGGAAAGCUCAUCAAGUGACGGUAACUACCCAGAAAGGGACGGCUAACUACGUG
rnacentral:rRNA from 1 species